UAUCUCUCCGUACGGAGAAGGAUGAGAAGCUUCGACUAAGGUUCGAUUCGAGCGCAGCGAGAAAGCGUUGCCGCAGGCAACGACCCGAAGGGUGAGGAGCGGAGCGACGAAUAAUCCUUCCCCCACCACCA
rnacentral:sRNA from 2 species